UCUCUCUUUUAAGGUAGAGGGUGAAUUUGUGUGAUGAGAUGGGGUGGGGGGCAAAAUGUGGAACACACCCUUUCACCUGCAGCUCCACACUCCAAACGCAGAGAAAUACUGGGUCAUGUAUGGCACAUUUUAAAAGAUGCAUUACAUUUGAACCCAUUAACCGAAUGCUCAUAGCAUCAAGAAAAGAUCAUUUAAAAGAUCACAUAGGCAUACUUUAAAAGCACAAAAAAUUACAUUUUCUCAUGCCAGAGGACAGAAUCUUAUGAGCUGUUGCGACGAGAGCUGCAUCUCAGGGGCUGAGAACCUAACGUCUGCCUGGGGGUGUCUGGGGCCUGCAGAUGUUGUGUAGAAUGAACGUUAGGAUGAGCAGCUUUCUAAAGCCAGGAGCCAGGGUGGAGUCCCUGUGUCUCUGAAUAGAAACCAGCAGGGCUUAGCCUUCUGUAGCAAGGAAUGCAUCUCAAAAGCUCAUGCUGGGCCUGGGCCUGGGGUGAAACAGGAGUCACACAGUAGAGUCAGGACCCCAAAUGUGGCACUGCCUGUGCUGUUGGGAAAAUCUGAGCAGGAAUUUAAGGUAAAAGCUGGUCUGGAACAGACUCCAACCCGAAGGCCUUGAGCCCAGCACAAAAAUCAUUGCCCCACUGAAGAUGCCUGCAGAACUCGAGGCAUUGCUGAGACUCCAUGGGAGAAUGACUCCUAAGGAAGGUGAGCCAACAGCUCCUGUGGAGACUCAUCAUGGUGAGGAGGAGCAGACUCCAUAAAAGGAGAAUUCACCUCUAAGGAGCUGCAGGUCAUGGAGGGGUUAGAAUGGGCCUUUGAUUAUCCGAAAAGCAUCUUACAGGAAAAAAUAAAGUAGCAUAAUCCAAAUUCCAACACGAGACUUGAAAAAAAAAGUAACAACAAAAUGGAAAAUAAAGUCACUGAAAGAAAGCAAGUGAGUUGGAUUGGACUGUCUCCUGCUAUUAGCUCUGUCCCUAGCUGCAAGGUCCAUGGGGACCCUGCCUCCCUUGACCUUGAAUCUCAGUGUCCUAGCAGAGCGUCUGGUUCCAGGUGGGCUCACAGUACAUAUAUACCUGCCAAAUGGAUGGAUUGCCAGCCUAAGUGUUUGUAGGAAGGUGCUAUUUUCAGGCACUUCACGUGUGGACUUCGGUGUCGUCAGCCCUUUUCCGCUCUAGUCAGGCACUGUGGACACCACCUCAGGGUGUGAGGGAACCAGGAAAUAGAGGGGGUUUCCUCUGCGAGCUGGCUGCCUUGCGCGAGCUCUGUCUCCACCGCAUUUCUCUAUCCAUGUCCUGUCACGUCUUUUAUUGUGUUCGCUAGUCCUGUGCUAACGAGGAUCUUUGAAAAAUGACUGCUAUGGUAAUGAUCUACGGAACUUACUGUAGAUAGCAAUUAAAUAUGGUUAACGGCGGGUUACGCUGACACAUUAAAAGGCCCACGGGCUGCGAUUUAUGGAGACAGCACUGCUGCCUCCUUUGUAUGUGAUGCAUUUCUCUGGUUUCUCCUUAGGCUGCCUGGUCUCAGAAGGGAAUCAUUUCUAGGCCUUCCCCACCAUCAUUCCUGUUGCUGGUCCACCCAAAGUCCCAUCAGCAGGCUUUACAGUCCCUCCUGCACCUCCUGAGGCCCUCAGAGUGCUUGAGGUAGCUUUUGUCAAGGUAAGACCUAGGGCGACAUUUUGUUGUACAGAAAAGGCAUGUGCUGUCAGAGGAGAACAUGCAGAUACAAUAUUGGGAUGAUUCUUAUAAGUGAUGCGAGAUGAUUUGAUGACAGAAAUUGAGAUUAUAUGCUGAGACCUGACUGUCUUAAACUCUGUUAAUUUCUGAAAAGAAUAGAAAUGCAAUGCUAGCUAAAGGAAGAGAAGUAGUCUGGCUCACCAGUGGCCAGCAAGCUCUGUAAAGAAGCAUUGCCUGGGCCAAGCACGGUGGCUCAAGCCUGUAAUCCCAGCACUUUGGGAGGCCGAGGCUGGUGGAUCACGAGGUCAAGAGAUCAAGACCAUCCUGCCCAACAUGGUGAAACCCUGUCUCUACUAAAAAUACAAAAAAUUAGCUGGGCAUGGUGGCACGUGCCUAUAAUCCCAGCUACUCAGGAGGCUGAGGCAGGAGAAUUGCCUGAACUGGGGAGGCAGAGGUUGCGGUGAGCCGAGAUCGCACCAUUGCACUCCAGCCUGGGUAACAAGAGCAAAACUCCAUCUCAAAAAAAAAAAAAAAAAAGAAGAAGAAAUGUUGCCUUUAUGCAGCAAUCUCACCAAAUAUGAGACUCCAGGUAGAAGAGAGCUCCCAAGCAGUCAAAACACAAACAAAGAUCCUGUAAAUUACUCUCAAGUGAACAACUAGGCAAGGGAUAACCAACCCUGUCCCAACUGUCUCACACCCCCACUGGCCUCCUGCACUCAUGGAUGCCACGUUCUUCAAUGUUCACACUUCUGUUAACAGAGUUGAAGGAGAGCAAAGAUAGGCUCCUUCACCAAAGCCCAUCGACUAAAUACAGACGCAGUGCUGAUAUCAACACCUGUAAAAGAAGAUCCUGAGAUGCUGUGAUGUUUUUCUCCCUCUGUUGUGGCCAAGUGUGCGUGCUCUCUUGCCUUUGGGUUGCUCAUGUUUUGGGGCACAGGAUCAAAAGCAGAAGUGUCCAGGCCACCAGGAGACAAGACAAACCAUUAUCUGUGAAAGACUGGGUUUUCUGAAAGAAAGCAGGCUGGACGCUGCCAGUGGAGGAAAGAGUUAUGGUGUGACGUUUUCUGUGAUGAGAAAGAAGAGCAGCCAGGCGGUGGGCAUGCAGAAGGUAUGCUUGGUGUUGAUGGUGUUGCAAUUGUUGUACCCCAAGGCCUGGGGACAAGACGGCCCCAUGUACAUAGAGGUCAUGAAAAAUGUGAGGACCCUGGACAUUGAGUGUCACAUCCUUGGCGACAGUGAUAACACAUCCCUGUGUCCAAACUCAGCUCAGUCAGCUUAUCUAAAACAGACAGGGAGUACCUCCAUGGGAACAGUUGGAGAACUUUCCCUUUGGUGUUUGGACUCUACAGAACCGCUGGGAAUUGUGUUCAAGUGCAGGAGGAACGGCUGAAGACAUGAUUGAGAUAAAUUUGCAGCCAGGAGGUUGGAGAGAAAUUAGGAUCCAAUUUACUCAGUUGGGAGGAAUCACGACCCAGCGUAGAUCUUCUGGUGGACUCUGAAGUUAUUUGGAAUUUGCCCAGAAGAUGAAUUCUCCUGAAGAAGAAAGGAUGUGGAAGCUGAUGCCAAGGCCCCAUUUCCACAUGUGAAUUUCUAAGAAACUACAGCUUUCAUCUGGAGUGGAGAUGAAUGGCACCGGGGUCCAUGUUGCCAGCAUGCCUGGGGACAAGGAAUGAGGACUUGUCACCCGAAGCAUAGGAUUCAUAGUAGGCACGGGAAUGAAGCCUCUGCCUUUGUGGAAAUGACUAGUUCGCCCAAAUCCAAGGCGUUUUCCACAACCAGGAGGCCUGGGCAGAGGAUGGAGAUUUGAGCCUUACCUGAGACAUCCUACUGGGAAGUUACAUCAAUGGUCAGUGUCUGAGGCCACAGAAAGUGUCACAUGAUGGUGUGUCACAGAGACCCACAUUUAGGAUAGCUGUGAACUCAAAAAGAAUCUUUGAUGACCAUGACUCAGAGAAACUUGUCAUAAUUACAACAGGUUUGGGAUCAGUUGAUGAUCACAGAUGGUGCAAGCCACCUACCUAAAUCCCUCUGGGGAGGGGCGGACGCUCUGGACACGGAGAUGUGAGGCUGGAGGCGUGGCUUGGUCUCCCUAGCCUGGGCGUGGCCAGGCAAAGCUGGGACAUCCUCAACCCAAAGUUUUGCACAACUGGAUUGAAACUCCUUGUAGAUAUUCCUAACCAGUGGUGAUAAGAAAGGGGGAGGAGGAGAAAAGCAUGGCUCUUCAUCAAGAGCAAAAGCAAGAGAUUCAGAUAGGAGACUUCACUUGGCUUUUCUAGUCUUGGCUGGUGGGGACCCAAAGAGCUCUGGAAUUUUCUAGAGAAACGAGCAUGAAUCUUCUAGAGAAACAAGCAUCCUUUAACAGGUCCCUGAGAGCCAGUUAGUGCGGAACAGUGGCUGUUACCAGAAGCUUAUUGCAGACCUUGGAACCCAAGUCAUGUGUUGGCCCAGGGCAGACCCAGGAAGGUGACUUGGGAAGGAAAUUCCAGGCUGAGAGGAUUAUUGGCAACUGGCACCACCCCCAGCCUGGAGGAGGGACGUUUCUAGGAUGACCCCCAGGGUGGAGAAAUCGCCGAGAUAACAAAACGUGUCUAUCAUCUCCCAGAGUGUAAACUAAUCUGUGGCUGGAAACAAACAAACCAAUAAAGAAACAAAAGAAGAUCUGUCAAGAAAGAACUGACUUUUCAAGUGUGUGGUAGCAGGUCUCCUGAAGGUACUGCCUCUGACACCUCCUGGAAAUCCUGCGUGCAUGACUACAAGCAUUAUUUGAAUGCUUGGCUGAGUUCAGGAGAGUGAAGAGCUGAGUGUUGGGAGAUACCGGGAAGACACAGGAAUGCUUUUCCAAUUUGUGCACCGAGGGAUUGGGGGCAAUCACCACAGGAGACAGAAGUUGAGUCCUUAAAUCCUUGGGUCAGAAAUCAAAACUUACACCCAUCUUCUUCUCUACCUAUCCAGCUAAGCCUGGUCCUUGCUGGGCUAAACCCUCGCUGAAAAGUAUGCAAGAAAAAAAAAACCUGCCUACGAUCUCAGGGGGCUGGAACGACUCCCAGGCUGUGUCUACAUGGGUGUGAGUGCGGAUUACGUAAAACACAGGUGGCGGGAACUUCCCUGAACGUUUGUAACCACGGACCUAACUCCUAAAGGGUGAGGGCUGUGAUGGAGAUGAUCAAGCCUGGGAAGCCUGGCGCCCCUGGUGGAAACACACGCACACCACUCUGGGGAAACGAGAUUCCCCGUAUCCCCAGUCCCCAAAUUCAUGUGGAACAAGUGUGCUUAAAAUGCUUAAAGACAUUUAAAAACGGAAAUAUCGUUAUUAGAAAAGACAAAGGAUGCUUCAAAAAUACAAGAUAGAUUCUGGAAAAAAAAUGGAACUCGUUAAAAAGGUAUCAUUGAAAUUGGGAUAAUUUAAAUGAGAGGAGCAGCAUAUAUGAUGCUCAUGAAAAAAGAAAUAAUGUGUGGUAGAAGAGAUUUGAAUAAUUUGUCCCAUAUCGAGCCAAAAGAGAUGAAGGUAUUUCUAACAGGUAAAUCUCAUAUUACCUGUUAGAUUACACACACACGCACACACACACACACAAAUGAGUAUAUACCUAAACUCAUUACAGUGAAAUUGCAUGCUACUCAGUACAAGACAUGAUUCACACACACACACACACACACACACACACAUACACACACACAUGAGUGCAUACCUAAACUCAUUACAGUGAAAUUGCAUGCUACCCAGUACAGGACAUGAUUCACACACACACACACACACACACACACACACACACACACACAUAUGAGUACAUACCUAAACUCAUUACAGUGAAAUCUCAUAUUACCUGUUAGAAAUAACCUAUCGCUGAUUAGAGAACCAAAUAAAACAGAAAAAAAAGUUGAAGAGGGGCAAUAUUCACAGAAAUAAUAAAUAUUUUUCCCAUGACUUAUGAAAGAAUGGAGUCUGGAGAAUCAGGAAUCUCAGUAAGUCCUAAGAAAAACAAAUGAGUGAAUACCUAAACUCAUUACAGUGAAAUUGCAUGCUACCCAGUACAAGACAUGAUUCUCACACACACACACACACACACACACACACACACAUGAGUACAUACCUAAACUCAUUACAGUGAAAUUGCAUGCUACCCAGUACAGGACAUGAUUCACACACACACACACACACACACACACACACACACACACACACACAUGAGUACAUACCUAAACUCAUUACAGUGAAAUCGCAUGCUACCCAGUACAGGACAUGAUUCACACACACACACACACACAUAUGAGUACAUACCUAAACUCAUUACAGUGAAAUCGCAUGCUACCCAGUACAGGACAUGAUUCACACACACACACACACACAUAUGAGUACAUACCUAAACUCAUUACAGUGAAAUCGCAUGCUACCUAGUACAGGACACCCACACGUGCACACCCACGCACACACACGCACACACAAAUGAGUAUAUACCUAAACUCAUUACAGUGAAAUUGCAUGCUACCCAAUACAAGACAUGAUUAACACACACACACGCACACACACACACACACAAAUGAGUAUAUACCUAAACUCAUUACAGUGAAAUUGCAUGCUACCCAGUACAGGACAUGAUUCACACACACACACACACACACACACACACACAUGAGUGCAUACCUAAACUCAUUACAGUGAAAUUGCAUGCUACCCAGUACAGGACAUGAUUCACACACACACACACACACACACACACACAUAUGAGUACAUACCUAAACUCAUUACAGUGAAAUCGCAUGCUACCCAGUACAGGACAUGAUUAACACCCACACGUGCACACCCACGCACACCCACGCACACACAAAUGAGUAUAUACCUAAACUUAUUACAGUGAAAUUGCAUGCUACCCAAUACAAGACAUGAUUAACACACACACACGCACACACACACACACACAAAUGAGUAUAUACCUAAACUCAUUACAGUGAAAUUGCAUGCUACUCAGUACAAGACAUGAUUCACACACACACGUGUGCAUGUGCACACACACACACACACUGAGAAAAAGCAGACCCCCAAUAAAAAAAAAAAAAAUUAGUCUGAUAGCAGACAUCUCAACAGUCAUCAGGGAGGUUGGGGUUUACUGUGACUGCCUAAAUUAAAGUCCAUUCCCAAGGACAUCCCAAAUGGCCAAAUACCCAUCCCUGCUUGUUUACAGAGUGCCAACAUUGAUUGGAUUUGCAGUGGACCGCCCCUCUACCUCCACCUCACUGAGCUCUGAGACAAAUGGAUUCUCCUAUCAUAAAGUAGGAAUGAGUAUCUGAAAGAAGCCUUUCCUGAUUCCCUGUAAAAGUUCAUUCAUCAGGAGGAAGAGGAGUCUUCCCAGCCUUCACCACCUGUGGACAGCAAUGUCCUUGCUGUGAAAGACACCGAUAAGUAAGAAGUUGCUCAUGGAGUCCAUAAGAUUAAAGACAAUAUUGAAGCUGACUCCUUGGCUGCCUGCCUGUCUCCUCUUUCUACAGGAGAAGCAAAGGCAUCUUUUAAGGACAAAGAUGACAGUCUUUGGGCCUGGCAGUGUCCUUGUCUAAAGACAUACAGAAUAAUAGAAGAUACUUAGAAGAAUAGUGAAUUGAUAUGUCUUUAUUUCCCCCCAAAAUUAUGUUCCCUUCUAGCCUGUUGCUCCCAAGAAGGAGCCAGGAAGGGUGUUGCCCACAGCAACAGAGAGUAGAUUCUCUUAUGAGAACGAAGUGUCUUGAUGAAGACUUUAAAACAAGGAUGGAUUUUCUUCAUCUCCUUAGUCAUACUUAGUUUUGAAAGUCAGAUUUGAAAAGAGAAAAGAGAUUUAAAAAUUUUAAAUCAUCCCUUCUGAAUAAUAAGGCUCUAAGCCCUAUCAAUUUAUUUUUAUUAUUUAUUUGUUUUUGUUUUUGUUUUUUUUUUUUUUUGAGAUGGAGUUUCACUCUUGUUGCCCAGGCUGGAGUGCAGUGAUGUGAUCUUGGCUCACAGCAACCUCCACCUCCCAGGUUCAAGCGAUUCUCCUGCCCCAACCUCCUGAGUAGCUGGGAUUACAGGCGUGUGCCACCAGGCCUGGCUACUUUUGUAUUUUUAGUAGAGAUGGCGUUUCUCCAUUUUGGUCAAGCUGGGGUCGAAUUCCCAACCUCAGGUGAUCUGCCUGCCUCGGCUACUCAAAGUGCUGGGAUUACAGGUGUGAGCCGCCGCACCCGGCUGGGCCAUAUCCAUUUAAUUAUGAUCAUAGUGUUAGUGCUUUCCACAGAGAGUCUCCUGAGAAUAGAGAGAGGGAGAGAGUGAGAGAGAGGUUGACGCUGCGGUCUGUUAGGGCCUUGGACUUGUCCUGGCAAAGUGGAGACUGCAGAAGUGAAGGAGAGGAGGUGUAAGGUGCUGGGUGUGGAUGGUGGAGAAAUGCCAGGUGGGCUGGUAUCGCGUAGCUCUUUUCAUAUUACUUGAGUGUAUCAUUGCUUUAACAUCACUUUCUAGCUGGGUGUGGUGGCACGUGCCUGUAGUCCCAACUACUCGGGAGACUGAGGCUGGUGAUCUCUUGAGCCCAGUUCUGGGCUGUAGUGCGCUACGGUGACUGGGUGUCCGCACUAAGUUUGGCAUCAGUGUGGUGACCUUCUGUGAGUGGGGGACCACCAGGUUGCCUAAGGAGGGGUGAACCAGCCCAGGUCGGAAAUGAAGCAGGUCAAAACUCCUGUGCUGAUCAGUAGUGGGAUCGCACCUGUGAAUAGCCACUGCAUUCCAGCCUGGGCAACAUAGCAAGACCCCAUCUCUUAAAACGAACAAACAAACAAAAAAACACAUUGCUUUCUCAGAGAGAACUGCUGUGAUCAUCCGACACUACACAGUACCCUUCUUCCCCCUCAUAGCCCUAUUUUAUUAGGCUUUCUUUGCCUUGAUGCUUAUGUCAUAUGCCUACAUGCUGACAGGGUUCAUGUCAGUUCUCUCCCUGGAGCACCUUCUCUGUUCUCUCUGGACGCAGCUGACCAUAAUGUUUAUUCAAUCUGUGACUGGGAAGGAAGCUAAGAUUCAAAGGUGCUCUUCUCCGCUUGCCUCCAGGGCUGGGGCAGGAGAAUGCUUUGUAGAGUGUGCUUCACACCAUCAUGGGCAAACUGGCACAGUCAGCCAAAGGAGAGGCUCCCACAUGGAUCUCCCUGAAGAAGUCAAUGAUGUGCAGGUGAUAAAGUAUAAGAAAGACGACAAAUCUGGUCAACUGAGUUGGACAGAGAUCAGCUCUGCCCUCCCAAGGCCAUGGGAAUCUGGCCCUGACUCUGUGGAGCGUCAAUUUUCGGUUAUACUCUGAGCCCCACCAUAGUUAGAAACAUCAUUAUGUGAAAAGAAAUUCCCAAUGGUCCCUAAACAUCCUUCUCCUCCUUUAACAAAUAAAGACAUAUGCAUUUUGCAUUAAUACUGUGGAAUAAAUAACGAAUUAUAAAUGGAAUAGAAAUUAUAAUAUAGUGAUGUGAUGUCUGCACAGAUUUUUAUGGUCCCUGGAGUAAGUCCCUUUAGGAACACACAUUAUUUUCUCUGUUUAAAGAUAUUCACAACUCUUUGUUAAUCCAGCUCGCCAUACUCUUCGAGGGACACAGGGAGGGAAAAUGUAUUUGGAAUUCUAUGGGCUCCAUUCUUCCAUUUGUCUUGUGUGUUUUAUCUCCCGCAACAUUCUCCCAUGUGCUGCUGGAAGAUAACACUCUUUUCAGGUCUCCGAAGUUGCUGGGUUUUACCGUGUGUGUCCUAACACCCACAGGUGUAUGUAAUCUCACUGUAGCAGAGUGUUGUCAUGUCUUGUUGACUAAUUAAGCGCCCUCGCUCCAAAUCUCAGCAGCUGAAAGUUCAAGUGUUAAAUGGUGGGAUACUGAAUCCAGGAGGCAGUGAAUGAGGAGGCGACUCGGCCCUGGCUGGGUUUUUACUUCUUGUUCUUCUGUUGUAUUAUUUUGUCUCUGUCUUGCCAGGUGCUGCCUGGUUGAAGAUGCCAGUAGGCUCAACACAGAGCCAAAUAUAUUGUCCAAAAGUGAGAUUGGAAACUAGAUCAUAUGUGAUAAAAGACAGCAAUUUAUUUUAUCUUGGUGUUACAUCAGGAAAGUAUGAAAUGAUCUAAUCAAUGUAUUUGGUUACUCACAUAACCAAUACUGAGUGUCUGCUGCGUGCCAGACACAGGAAAAUAUACCAGGGCUAAACUGAUCCAUUAAUACACAAUCCAGUUGGGGAGAAAGACAAGUAGCAGAUGAUUGUAGGACAGCAUAGUGAGAAUUGGAAGAGACUUGUUUAUGAGUCUUGGAAGUAGGAGUUGAAUUCAGAGAAGGUGACAUCUGAGCAGUGUAAGGACCUGUUGGAUGAAUAGUGAAGAUGGAAGAAGGAGAAAAGCAGAAUUUAGAAGAUCGUAAAGGACUUCCCGUUCUACAGCAAAACCUUGGGCUUUUCCUCAAGGACUUGAGGAGUUUCUGAAGAUUUCAACUGAGAAGCUUCAAGAGGACCUUGAGACCAAGCUAGUGCCCCUCAGUUGCUGUGUGAAAGGAUGGCCUCGAUGGGAAGAAAGAAUCAGACAAGUUGACAGGACUCUACAGAAAAAGAAAAGAGACAAGGCUGGGCUACAACAGAUUCUCAAGUUACGGAAGAAGCACAGGAAUGGGGCUGAACAGGUCACUGGAGAAAGGAGAGUUGGAGUUGACUUUGGCUACCUUGCAUGGAAAUGAUGAUGGUCGUUGAACCCAGGAAUGCAGAAAAAAAGACACUGUUUAGAGAUGACAUCAUGAUUUCAGUAUGAGUCCAUUUUAGUUUGAGGCACCAAUGAGACACUCAGGAGGCGUGGGCUGGAUUAGAGGUAAGUCAGAAACAUUCCAGGUCAGUUAAAACCUGGUACAUAUGCGGUGAGAAUAACAGUAGCAAGAUGUAACUGUACAAUACUGGUCGAUAAUAAAAUUUAAAGAAAACCAGGAAGGUAGACUUGGAGCAAGCAUGCAGAGAGGUAUGAGGAUCCAGAAACAAGUAAUGUCCCAAAAGGUAACAUGGCAGGGAAUGGAUAUAUGAUUUCCAGACACCGUAGAACGUGUCUGUCCUGCUAGCAGACAGCCCUAUUCCCUGGCCACUGCGAGGCAGUAGAUGUGUUCAUUAGCUGGGUUGUGAGGAUAUUCCAAAAUGUAUACAUGUACAAAAACAACACAUUGUGCACUUUAAAUAAGUAAAAUUUCAAAUUGUCAGUGAUACACCAAUGAAGCUAAAAAAAAAAAAUGGCAGCCAGGGGCGGCGGCUCAGGCCUGUAAUGCCAGCACUUUUGCAGGCUGAGGGGAGUGCAUCUCUUGAGUUCAGGUGUUUGAGACCAGUCUGGGCAUCAUGGUAAACCCCAUUUUUACAAAAAAUGCAGGAACAUUAAGCGUGGUGGCACAUGCUUGUGGUCCCAGCUACACUGGAGGCUAAGGUGGAAGGAUUACUUGAGCCCAGGAAGUCAAGGCUGCAGUGAGCCAUGAUUACACCACUGCACUCUAGCCUGGGUGACAGAGUGAGACCCUGUCUUAGAAAAAAAAAAAAGAAGAAGAAGAACGGUGAGUAAUUGUCAGUGAAUGUAUAGGGGAGAAAAUGAAACAGAGAAGACCAUUUCUAAGUUUUUCAGCCUUCUUGUCUUGAAGGAAGAGAGAGUCUUUGAUAGAAAUAGGAUUCUUGAAGAAGUACUAAUGCUUCUCAGCAUCUAAAAAUGCCUUUUAAAAAAUAGUGAUUCCAAUUUCCCAAAGAAGACAUAGUUUUAGAGCGUACAAGAAGAGUACUAUACACUUUUUACCUAAUAUGUCUCUUUAAAUUGUGUGUAUUCACUUGGCAAUAAACUUUGCACAGCCUUGAUGUUAGUCCCUCAGUGAAUUCCCAUUCACUUUCACACCACUGUGCCACCAAUGCGAUUGCCAUUCCAAUGCAAACCCAACUGUGGUGGUCCUACCUCACCUGUCAGGAGCAAUUUCAUGACAGACAGCAGCAGUGACGUCUCAUAUGACUAAUAUUUCAUUACUUUUACAAAAGAGGCAAGAUUGCAUUCAUUACUAUACUAUGAAAUAUUACUGUAAAUAAGUAAAAUUAAAUUAUACUUGUCAAAAUAAAUGAACACUGCACAUUCCA